rnacentral:rRNA from 1 species
GACGAACGCUGGCGGCGUGCCUAAUACAUGCAAGUCGAACGAACUCUGGUAUUGAUUGGUGCUUGCAUCAUGAUUUACAUUUGAGUGAGUGGCGAACCGGUGAGUAACACGUGGGAAACCUGCCCAGAAGCGGGGGAUAACACCUGGAAACAGAUGCUAAUACCGCAUAACAACUUGGACCGCAUGGUCCGAGCUUGAAAGAUGGCUUCGGCUAUCACUUUUGGAUGGUCCCGCGGCGUAUUAGCUAGAUGGUGGGGUAACGGCUCACCAUGGCAAUGAUACGUAGCCGACCUGAGAGGGUAAUCGGCCACAUUGGGACUGAGACACGGCCCAAACUCCUACGGGAGGCAGCAGUAGGGAAUCUUCCACAAUGGACGAAAGUCUGAUGGAGCAACGCCGCGUGAGUGAAGAAGGGUUUCGGCUCGUAAAACUCUGUUGUUAAAGAAGAACAUAUCUGAGAGUAACUGUUCAGGUAUUGACGGUAUUUAACCAGAAAGCCACGGCUAACUACGUGCCAGCAGCCGCGGUAAUACGUAGGUGGCAAGCGUUGUCCGGAUUUAUUGGGCGUAAAGCGAGCGCAGGCGGUUUUUUAAGUCUGAUGUGAAAGCCUUCGGCUCAACCGAAGAAGUGCAUCGGAAACUGGGAAACUUGAGUGCAGAAGAGGACAGUGGAACUCCAUGUGUAGCGGUGAAAUGCGUAGAUAUAUGGAAGAACACCAGUGGCGAAGGCGGCUGUCUGGUCUGUAACUGACGCUGAGGCUCGAAAGUAUGGGUAGCAAACAGGAUUAGAUACCCUGGUAGUCCAUACCGUAAACGAUGAAUGCAAAGGGGUUGGAGGGUUUCCGCCCUUCAGUGCUGCAGCUAACGCAUUAAGCAUUCCGCCUGGGGAGUACGGCCGCAAGGCUGAAACUCAAAGGAAUUGACGGGGGCCCGCACAAGCGGUGGAGCAUGUGGUUUAAUUCGAAGCUACGCGAAGAACCUUACCAGGUCUUGACAUACUAUGCAAAUCUAAGAGAUUAGACGUUCCCUUCGGGGACAUGGAUACAGGUGGUGCAUGGUUGUCGUCAGCUCGUGUCGUGAGAUGUUGGGUUAAGUCCCGCAACGAGCGCAACCCUUAUUAUCAGUUGCCAGCAUUAAGUUGGGCACUCUGGUGAGACUGCCGGUGACAAACCGGAGGAAGGUGGGGAUGACGUCAAAUCAUCAUGCCCCUUAUGACCUGGGCUACACACGUGCUACAAUGGAUGGUACAACGAGUUGCGAACUCGCGAGAGUAAGCUAAUCUCUUAAAGCCAUUCUCAGUUCGGAUUGUAGGCUGCAACUCGCCUACAUGAAGUCGGAAUCGCUAGUAAUCGCGGAUCAGCAUGCCGCGGUGAAUACGUUCCCGGGCCUUGUACACACCGCCCGUCACACCAUGAGAGUUUGUAACACCCAAAGUCGGUGGGGUAACCUUUUAGGAACCAGCCGCCUAAGGUGGGACAGAUGAUUAGGGUGAAG